AUUGAACGCUGGCGGCAUGCUUUACACAUGCAAGUCGAGCGGCAGCGCGGGGGCAACCCUGGCGGCGAGCGGCGAACGGGUGAGUAAUGCAUCGGAACGUAUCCUCGAGUGGGGGAUAACCCAGCGAAAGUUGGGCUAAUACCGCAUGAGCUCUGAGGAGGAAAGCGGGGGACCUGCGAGGGCCUCGCGCUGGAGGAGCGGCCGAUGUCCGAUUAGCUAGUUGGUGGGGUAAAGGCUUACCAAGGCGACGAUCGGUAGCUGGUCUGAGAGGAUGAUCAGCCACACUGGGACUGAGACACGGCCCAGACUCCUACGGGAGGCAGCAGUGGGGAAUUUUGGACAAAGGGGGCAACCCUGAUCCAGCCAUGCCGCGUGAGUGAAGAAGGCCUUCGGGUUGUAAAGCUCUUUCGGACGGAACGAAAUGGGCGGGACUAAUACCCCUGUCUGAUGACGGUACCGUAAGAAGAAGCACCGGCUAACUACGUG
rnacentral:rRNA from 1 species